rnacentral:rasiRNA from 1 species
AGAUACUUUAUGACGACGCUGGAA